UCGCUGUGAUGAUUGAUUUUUUUAAACAUUCGUAGUUUCCACCAAAAGCUUAGCUGAUGAUGGCACAACUUCCUUGGAUGUCUGAGCGA
ensembl:snoRNA SNORD14 Small nucleolar RNA SNORD14